rnacentral:rRNA from 1 species
GACGAACGCUGGCGGCGUGCUUAACACGUGCAAGUCGAACGAUGAAGAAGAGAAACGCGAACUUCGGUUCAAAUUUCACUUCGGAUUAGUGGCAGACGGGUGAGUAACGCGUGAGCAACCUACCUCUUACAAAGGGAUAGCCUCGGGAAACCGUGAUUAAUACCAUAUGACACAUUCAUAAGGCAUCUUAAGAAUGUUAAAGCUACGGCGGUAAGAGAUGGGCCCGCGUCCCAUUAGCUAGUUGGUGAGGUAACGGCCCACCAAGGCGACGAUGGGUAACCGGCCUGAGAGGGUGAACGGUCACAUUGGAACUGAGACACGGUCCAAACUCCUACGGGAGGCAGCAGUGGGGAAUAUUGCACAAUGGAGGGAACUCUGAUGCAGCGACGCCGCGUGAGCGAUGAAGGAAUUCGUUUCGUAAAGCUCUGUUCUAUGGGAAGAAAAGGACUGUACCAUAGGAGAAAGCCCCGGCUAAAUACGUG